GUGACUGCGUACCUUUUGUAUAAUGGGUCAGCGACUUAUAUUCUGUAGCAAGGUUAACCGAAUAGGGGAGCCGGAGGGAAACCGAGUCUUAAUUGGGCGUUAAGUUGCAGGGUAUAGACCCGAAACCCGGUGAUCUAGCCAUGGGCAGGUUGAAGGUUGGGUAACACUAACUGGAGGACCGAACCGACUAAUGUUGAAAAAUUAGCGGAUGACCUGUGGCUGGGGGUGAAAGGCCAAUCAAACCGGGAGAUAGCUGGUUCUCCCCGAAAGCUAUUUAGGUAGCGCCUCGUGAAUUCAUCUCCGGGGGUAGAGCACUGUUUCGGCUAGGGGGCCAUCCCGGCUUACCAACCCGAUGCAAACUGCGAAUACCGGAGAAUGUUAUCACGGGAGACACACGGCGGGUGCUAACGUCCGUCGUGAAGAGGGAAACAACCCAGACCGCCAGCUAAGGUCCCAAAGUCAUGGUUAAGUGGGAAACGAUGUGGGAAGGCCCAGACAGCCAGGAUGUUGGCUUAGAAGCAGCCAUCAUUUAAAGAAAGCGUAAUAGCUCACUGGUCGAGUCGGCCUGCGCGGAAGAUGUAACGGGGCUAAACCAUGCACCGAAGCUGCGGCAGCGACGCUGAUGCGUUGUUGGGUAGGGGAGCGUUCUGUAAGCCUGCGAAGGUGGCCUGUGAGGGUUGCUGGAGGUAUCAGAAGUGCGAAUGCUGACAUAAGUAACGAUAAAGCGGGUGAAAAGCCCGCUCGCCGGAAGACCAAGGGUUCCUGUCCAACGUUAAUCGGGGCAGGGUGAGUCGACCCCUAAGGCGAGGCCGAAAGGCGUAGUCGAUGGGAAACGGGUUAAUAUUCCCGUACUUGGUGUUACUGCGAAGGGGGGACGGAGAAGGCUAUGUUGGCCGGGCGACGGUUGUCCCGGUUUAAGCGUGUAGGUGUGUGUUCCAGGUAAAUCCGGUUCACUUUAACACUGAGGCGUGAUGACGAGGCACUACGGUGCUGAAGCAACAAAUGCCCUGCUUCCAGGAAAAGCCUCUAAGCAUCAGGUAACAUCAAAUCGUACCCCAAACCGACACAGGUGGUCAGGUAGAGAAUACCAAGGCGCUUGAGAGAACUCGGGUGAAGGAACUAGGCAAAAUGGUGCCGUAACUUCGGGAGAAGGCACGCUGACACGUAGGUGAAGUGAUUUACUCAUGGAGCUGAAGUCAGUCGAAGAUACCAGCUGGCUGCAACUGUUUAUUAAAAACACAGCACUGUGCAAACACGAAAGUGGACGUAUACGGUGUGACGCCUGCCCGGUGCCGGAAGGUUAAUUGAUGGGGUCAGCGCAAGCGAAGCUCCUGAUCGAAGCCCCGGUAAACGGCGGCCGUAACUAUAACGGUCCUAAGGUAGCGAAAUUCCUUGUCGGGUAAGUUCCGACCUGCACGAAUGGCGUAAUGAUGGCCAGGCUGUCUCCACCCGAGACUCAGUGAAAUUGAACUCGCUGUGAAGAUGCAGUGUACCCGCGGCAAGACGGAAAGACCCCGUGAACCUUUACUAUAGCUUGACACUGAACAUUGAGCCUUGAUGUGUAGGAUAGGUGGGAGGCUUUGAAGUGUGGACGCCAGUCUGCAUGGAGCCGACCUUGAAAUACCACCCUUUAAUGUUUGAUGUUCUAACGUGGACCCGUGAUCCGGGUUGCGGACAGUGUCUGGUGGGUAGUUUGACUGGGGCGGUCUCCUCCUAAAGAGUAACGGAGGAGCACGAAGGUUGGCUAAUCCUGGUCGGACAUCAGGAGGUUAGUGCAAUGGCAUAAGCCAGCUUGACUGCGAGCGUGACGGCGCGAGCAGGUGCGAAAGCAGGUCAUAGUGAUCCGGUGGUUCUGAAUGGAAGGGCCAUCGCUCAACGGAUAAAAGGUACUCCGGGGAUAACAGGCUGAUACCGCCCAAGAGUUCAUAUCGACGGCGGUGUUUGGCACCUCGAUGUCGGCUCAUCACAUCCUGGGGCUGAAGUAGGUCCCAAGGGUAUGGCUGUUCGCCAUUUAAAGUGGUACGCGAGCUGGGUUUAGAACGUCGUGAGACAGUUCGGUCCCUAUCUGCCGUGGGCGCUGGAGAACUGAGGGGGGCUGCUCCUAGUACGAGAGGACCGGAGUGGACGCAUCACUGGUGUUCGGGUUGUCAUGCCAAUGGCACUGCCCGGUAGCUAAAUGCGGAAGAGAUAAGUGCUGAAAGCAUCUAAGCACGAAACUUGCCCCGAGAUGAGUUCUCCCUGAGACUUAAAGUCUCCUGAAGGAACGUUGAAGACGACGACGUUGAUAGGCCGGGUGUGUAAGCGCAGCGAUGCGUUGAGCUAACCGGUACUAAUGAACCGUGAGGCUUAACCUUACAACGCCGAAG
rnacentral:rRNA from 1 species